rnacentral:lncRNA from 1 species
AUGGCAGCGGCACCACACGUGGGCGUGGGCGUCUGGUGUGAAGACGUUGGGAGCCUGGGAAGAGGGAGCAGCCUGCCUUGGAGCGACGGGAGAGGGGAAAGUCACGUAUCCUCGGAGAAACAGCUGAAGAGCGGAAAGGGCGAUGUGCACAAGCCCUGUGUGCCAGCUGGCUCCCAAACGGGAUGCCGGUCGCAGGAUGCCCUACGUAGGCUGGCGCCUCUAGAGCCCCGCCUUGCAGAGCAGAAUGCGGAGUUAGCCCCCCUCGCUAGAACCCUGUGGCCAGGUUCCUGUGGCCAGGUUGCUGACCCUCUGUGUGUCUUGCCAGCCGGAGAGAACAGAAGCCUUCCCUCCACUCCUCUUCAGACUCCCUUUACUUAUAAGCUGGCCGCUGGUCACACCAGUCACUAGGAUGCUGAAGUUCACUGAGAAAUCAGGGAAAGUGAGCAUAAAAGAUAGCACUGCACAGAGAGGGCUCGAAAGGACAGAGGGGAAAAGAAUUAGACAUCUCUUCUUUGUUUUAAAAAGAAUCCUGUCCUUCUGGCCUUAGGUCCCGGAGGUCAGAGGGCAGGAGGAGACAGGGAGGUGGGAGAAAAGAAAGAGGUGGGGUGAGACAGAGAGAGAGAGAGUUUGGGAUUCCUUUGGAUCUCUGGUGUUCAAAAUAGCA